UGCACCGACUCCUUUAAUCGGCACCGGCCCCCCGGGUCCUCCCACCCGCACCGACCCCCGGAGCUGCCUCAGCCAACGAUGGCAGUAAAAUAAAGCUGCGGCCUCCUCCCGGCGGCUGGAAACGGGCGGAGCGAGGGACGGCAGCGAGAGGCGUCCCGGAGCGGCCGUUCCAGGGAUGCAGCGGGCACAGGGAUGCUCCAGGGCUCUUCCCCUUCCCAAGGCUCCGUGGCAGCUCCUUGGCCCUGCCCUGCCCUGCUUUGGGCCGGGUCACGCUUAAAAAGGACUCUUGGUUUUAGCAGAAGAAGCAGAUAAAAGGGAAAAAAAAAAAAAAAAAAAAACAACCAGCAAACCUUUGGAAUUGUCAAAGGGAGGUUUCAGUGAAAGCACGGAUUUGGGAGAUCUUUCCCAGCAUUAAUCACAGAGAGGAUUUUGAGAAGAUGAAGUUCCAGCAGCAGGAGAAUUUGCAGAAUUUUGUAUUUGAUGCAGGGAUUGUGUUAAAGGAAAUCCACCUGGCUGGUUUGUGACAAGUGGAGCAUUCCAGCCUGGAAUGGCUGCCCUAAAACCAACCACAGCAUCUCCGUUAAUCAGAAUGCUGACAAGUGAUUAAUAAAUGGCCACUGUAAAUUAUUUAAUCACUAUGCUAACGACA